rnacentral:tRNA from 1 species
CGAGGGGGAUUAGCUCAGCUGGGAGAGCACCUGCUUUGCAAGCAGGGGGUCGUCGGUUCGAUCCCGUCAUCCUCCA